GAUGAACGCUGGCGGCGUGCCUAAUACAUGCAAGUCGAGCGAACGGACGAGAAGCUUGCUUCUCUGAUGUUAGCGGCGGACGGGUGAGUAACACGUGGAUAACCUACCUAUAAGACUGGGAUAACUUCGGGAAACCGGAGCUAAUACCGGAUAAUAUUUUGAACCGCAUGGUUCAAAAGUGAAAGACGGUCUUGCUGUCACUUAUAGAUGGAUCCGCGCUGCAUUAGCUAGUUGGUAAGGUAACGGCUUACCAAGGCAACGAUGCAUAGCCGACCUGAGAGGGUGAUCGGCCACACUGGAACUGAGACACGGUCCAGACUCCUACGGGAGGCAGCAGUAGGGAAUCUUCCGCAAUGGGCGAAAGCCUGACGGAGCAACGCCGCGUGAAUGAUGAAGGUCUUCGGAUCGUAAAACUCUGUUAUUAGGGAAGAACAUAUGUGUAAGUAACUGUGCACAUCUUGACGGUACCUAAUCAGAAAGCCACGGCUAACUACGUGCCAGCAGCCGCGGUAAUACGUAGGUGGCAAGCGUUAUCCGGAAUUAUUGGGCGUAAAGCGCGCGUAGGCGGUUUUUUAAGUCUGAUGUGAAAGCCCACGGCUCAACCGUGGAGGGUCAUUGGAAACUGGAAAACUUGAGUGCAGAAGAGGAAAGUGGAAUUCCAUGUGUAGCGGUGAAAUGCGCAGAGAUAUGGAGGAACACCAGUGGCGAAGGCGACUUUCUGGUCUAUAACUGACGCUGAUGUGCGAAAGCGUGGGGAUCAAACAGGAUUAGAUACCCUGGUAGUCCACGCCGUAAACGAUGAGUGCUAAGUGUUAGGGGGUUUCCGCCCCUUAGUGCUGCAGCUAACGCAUUAAGCACUCCGCCUGGGGAGUACGACCGCAAGGUUGAAACUCAAAGGAAUUGACGGGGACCCGCACAAGCGGUGGAGCAUGUGGUUUAAUUCGAAGCAACGCGAGGAACCUUACCAAAUCUUGACAUCCUUUGACAACUCUAGAGAUAGAGCUUUCCCCUUCGGGGGACAAAGUGACAGGUGGUGCAUGGUUGUCGUCAGCUCGUGUCGUGAGAUGUUGGGUUAAGUCCCGCAACGAGCGCAACCCUUAAGCUUAGUUGCCAUCAUUAAGUUGGGCACUCUAAGUUGACUGCCGGUGACAAACCGGAGGAAGGUGGGGAUGACGUCAAAUCAUCAUGCCCCUUAUGAUUUGAGCUACACACGUGCUACAAUGGACAAUACAAAGGGCAGCGAAACCGCGAGGUCAAGCAAAUCCCAUAAAGUUGUUCUCAGUUCGGAUUGUAGUCUGCAACUCGACUACAUGAAGCUGGAAUCGCUAGUAAUCGUAGAUCAGCAUGCUACGGUGAAUACGUUCCCGGGUCU
rnacentral:rRNA from 1 species